AACGAACGCUGGCGGCACGCCUAACACACGCAAGUCGAACGAGAAGCUUCUUUCGGGAAGUGGACAGUGGCGGACGGGUGAGUAACACGUGGGAAUAUGCCUUUUGGUACAGAACAACGCCUGGAAACGGGUGCUAAUACUGUAUACGCCCUUAGGGGGAAAGAUUUAUCGCCGAGAGAUUGGCCUGCGUUAGAUUAGCUAGUUGGUGAGGUAAUGGCUCACCAAGGCGACGAUCUAUAGCUGGUUUGAGAGGAUGAUCAGCCACACUGGGACUGAGACACGGCCCAG
rnacentral:rRNA from 1 species